UACGGCCAAAAUACAUUGAAACAUCGGCUCCCGUAUGAUCACCGAAGUUAAGCAACGUUGAGCCUGGUCAGAGACUAGAUAGGAGACCGAUUGGGAACACGAGGUGCUGUAAG